CAGCCGCCACGGUAAUACGGUGGGAGCUAGCGUUGUUCGGAAUUACUGGGCGUAAAGCGCGCGUAGGCGGUUACUCAAGUCAGAGGUGAAAGCCCGGGGCUCAACCCCGGAACUGCCUUUGAAACUAGGUGACUAGAAUCUUGGAGAGGUCAGUGGAAUUCCGAGUGUAGAGGUGAAAUUCGUAGAUAUUCGGAAGAACACCAGUGGCGAAGGCGACUGACUGGACAAGUAUUGACGCUGAGGUGCGAAAGCGUGGGGAGCAAACAGGAUUAGAGACCCCCGUAGUCCCUGUCUCUUAUAC
rnacentral:rRNA from 1 species